ACAAAUACCCGAGGUACAACCCUAAAUCAGAUCCACCAUUUCUUGAAUUAGGCAUGUAUUUUGAUGACAAUGUGCAGUUCAAACUUGCCAUGAUAAGUUAU